GACGAACGCUGGCGGCGCGCUUUAUGCAUGCAAGUCGAACGGACCUUCGGGUCAGUGGCGGACGGCUGAGUAACGCGUAGGCAAUCUGCCCAGUGGUGGGGGAUAACUCGCCGAAAGGUGAGCUAAUACCGCAUAAGUUCGGUAGUUGAAAUCACCGCCGAGGAAAGCAGCAAUGCACCACUGGAGGAGCCUGCGUCCUAUCAGGUAGUUGGUGGGGUAACGGCCACCAAGCCGAUGACGGGUAGCUGGUCUGAGAGGACGACCAGCCAGAAGGGGACUGAGACACGGCCCCUACUCCUACGGGAGGCAGCAGCAAGGAAUCUUGGGCAAUGGGCGAAAGCCUGACCCAGCGACGCCGCGUGAGGGAUGAAGGCCUUCGGUCGUAAACCUCUUUUGGCGGGGGAAGAAGAUCUGACGGUACCCCGCGAAUAAGCCACGCUAACUACGUGCCAGCAGCCGCCG
rnacentral:rRNA from 1 species